AGCUGAGUCAGUGUAGUGGUUAGAGUGUUGGACUGUGACCUGGGAGACCAGGGUUCGAAUCCCUACUCAGCCA